rnacentral:rRNA from 1 species
CGAGGUUCGACUAAGCCAUGCGAGUCGAAUGUAGCAAUACAUGGCGUACUGCUCAGUAACACGUGGACAACCUACCCUUGAGUUGGGGAUAAACCCGGGAAAACUGGGUAUAAUACCCGAUAGUCCUCGGCUGCUGGAAUGCAUCGAGAACGAAAGCUCCGACGCUCAAGGAUGGGUCUGCGGCCUAUCAGGUAGUAGUGGGUGUAGCGUACCUACUAGCCUACGACGGGUACGGGUUGUGAGAGCAAGAGCCCGGAGAUGGAUUCUGAGACACGAAUCCAGGCCCUACGGGGUGCAGCAGGCGCGAAAACUUUACAAUGUUGGAAACAGCGAUAAGGGGACCUCGAGUGCCAGGUUACAAAUCUGGCUGUCGUGAUGCCUAAAAAGCAUUGCAUAGCAAGGGCCGGGCAAGACCGGUGCCAGCCGCCGCGGUAACACCGGCGGCUCGAGUGGU